rnacentral:misc_RNA from 1 species
AUUAAGAAGGAAAAGAAGCAAAAUGUUUCUCAACACAAGGGAAAAAAACAGACAACAAUUUCAUCAAAGAUGAUACAGCUAUUAUUAAGAUCAUCCUCCAGCCAGGAAAAACUUUACCAGCCAAGCUUUUGUGCUAUUGAAAGGCCACAUACGACUGUUAUUGAGUAGAUACUACAAUCCAUAAACACUGCACCCAUAACGUUUUGCAAUAACAAUCCCAGCUCCAGAGCCUUUCCAAUUUGAUCAACCAUACCAGCGCCAGGGAUACCGUUUGCUGCUGCUUUUUGAUUCCUCUGUGACCCAGCUUCUUCUGCGAGAAGGCGUGCAAUAACAAUCGAUAUGUUGGUCAACAUCAGUAGCAGAAGAGGUCUGAAAAAUAUGACCAACUUGAAGAAGUGGCUGUCAUAGGACAAAAGAACCAAAAUGGCAGCCACGAGGGAAAAGUUGAGGCGGAUACUCUCAGAAGCUGCAAUUGCAGAACUUAUUUUAUUUGGGGCGAAAAUGUUGUGAUAGUUG